rnacentral:lncRNA from 1 species
CAGCAGCAGCAGCAGCACGGGCACCGUCGGGAAGCGAGGCUGAAACCCGCAGCACAGCCAUACCUCACACGGGGUCAUUUCCUUGUAAGUCACCAGAAUCCGAGCGGAGUUUCAAGUCCUAAAGCUGGGCACCGGCAGCUGUGUGCGCUGUCACUGCCAGGGGCACACGGACGGCAGCUCGGGCACCGCGGCCUCCCCGGCCCGGAGCGAGGGCUCCGGCGGCCGCUCCGCCGGGGACGCCCCGGCCGGGCCCGGCCUGCGGCGCGCAGGCACCGGGGGCGGCCGCGGGCCUCGGGCGGGCCCGGCGGGGCAGGGGUGGCCGCAGCCCCACCACGUGCCCGGCGGGAGGGAAGCGGCCACGGAAAGGCAGACGGACGGAGGCCGCAGCCGGGAGCGGCGGCCCGCGAGUGGCGCGCAGGCCGGGCCGGGCCGGGCCGCCUCCCUUCCCCUGGGCCAGGCCUGCUCCCCUUCCCCCGCCCCACCCCGCUCCCCUGGGCUCCGCUUCCGCGGCGCUGCUCACCCGUGCGGGAUGCGGGCUGGGCGGCCCUGCCGAGCGCUGUGGAGGCUCCGCGCGGCCCCGCCGCCGCCGCUGCUCGGGAGGAGAACGAGGAGGAGGAGGAGGGAGCGGGACCGGCAGUGCGCGUGCGCCGGACCCGCCCCCGCGCCCGCGCGCCCCUGGCGGCGCUGGCCAAUGGCGGCGCGCGGCCGUUACAUAACGCCGGCGUGGGGGGGCGGCGGGAGCUAGGGGUGCGGGGCUGCGGGUUCGCGUCCCAGCGCCGGAGCGCCCUGCGGGGUUGCACCGCGAGCGGCCGGGCCGGGUGGCUGAGGGUUUCGGACCCUCGGGAGCCCCCUGCGCUGCUGCGGGCAGGGGCGGGGUCCGGUCCUGGGGCACACCAGGAUCAGCCAGCACAGGCAGCCUCGCCCCGCCCGGUUCCCGGGAGCGCAGCCCGGGCGGAGCCCCGGUGGCGGUGCCGCAGCCCCGGCGGAUGCGCAGUGCUGCCCUCGGGCCCGCUCCCAGCCGCAUUCCUGUGCGCUUGGCGUACGGGAGCGGCCCGGAAUAGCGCUGCUCCCGCUCCUGCUCGCCGGGAUCCCGAGAAAUGGCUCGGAGAGGCUCUCGGGAGGCCCUGGAGAGGAGGGGAUCCUGUUCUGGCUGCCCUUCACACAGAGGGCCCCUGUGUGGGCUGGAAGGGUUAA